rnacentral:misc_RNA from 1 species
CGGGCGUCCUCACAAACUACCUGCAUUCAGAGAUGCGUAUCGGCACAGGCCGGUAUGCGAAAGUCCCAUCAUGGGGCCUUAGCUCAGCUGGGAGAGCACCUGCUUUGCAAGCAGGGGGUCGUCGGUUCGAUCCCGACAGGCUCCACCAUUUGAGUGAAACGACUUUGGGUCUGUAGCUCAGGUGGUUAGAGCGCACCCCUGAUAAGGGUGAGGUCGGUGGUUCGAGUCCUCCCAGACCCACCACUCUGAAUGUAGUGCACACUUAAGAACUUAUAUGGAUCAGCGUUGAGGCUGAGACAUGUUCUUUUAUAACUUGUGACGUAGCGAGCGUUUGAGAUAUCUAUCUAAACGUGUCGUUGAGGCUAAGGCGGGGACUUUGAGUCCCUAAAUAAUUGAGUCGUAUGUUCGCGUUGGUGGCUUUGUACCCCACACAACACGGCAUGUGACCCUGAGGCAACUUGGGGUUAUAUGGUCAAGCGAAUAAGCGCACACGGUGAAUGCCUAGGCGGUCAGAGGCGAUGAAGGACGUGGUAGCCUGCGAAAAGUGUCGGGGAGCUG